AUUAGGGUGGCCGAAAAUAAGCAAUAAACUGUAAAUUUAUUUAUGAAAAAAUUUCUCCUAAUA
rnacentral:tRNA from 2 species